rnacentral:rRNA from 1 species
CCUACGGGAGGCAGCAGUGGGGAAUAUUGCACAAUGGAGGGAACUCUGAUGCAGCGACGCCGCGUGAGUGAAGAAGUAAUUCGUUAUGUAAAGCUCUAUCAGCAGGGAAGAAAGUGACGGUACCUGAAAAAGAAGCUCCGGCUAAAGACGGGCCAGCAGCCGCGGGAAUACGUAUGGAGCAAGCGUUAUCCGGAUUUACUGGGUGUAAAGGGAGAGUAGGUGGCAGAGCAAGUCCGAAGUGAAAACCAAAAGCUCAACUAUGGGAAUGCUUUAGAAACUGCUCAGCUUGAGUACCGUUGAGGUAGGCGGACUUCGUGGUGUAGCUGUGACAUGCUUAGAUCUCACG